ACUUUUGUUCGGAUCCGAAGUAAUGAUCAAAGAGACAGGCGGGGACGUUUGAAUGGCAGCGCUACAGGGGAAAUUCAUGGACCGUAGCCAGACUAACUAAAGCGAAAGCAUUCGUUGAGCAUGUUUUCAUUGGCCAUGAGCGAAAGUCAGAGGCUCGAAGACGAUCAGUUACCGUCCUAGUUCUGACCAGAAACGAUGCCAACCGACCAUCCGUAGCGGUAGUCUUCAGACCAUCCCCACGGGCACUCCCCGGGAAAGCUUUAAUUCUUUGGGUUCCGGGGGAAGUAAGGAUGCAAAGCUGAAACUGAAAGGAACUGACGGAGUGGCACCACCACGAGUGGAUCCUGCGGCUUAAUACGACCCAAGACUGGAGAACUCACCCAGGCAGGACACUAUGAGGAUUGACACAUUGAUAGCUCUUUCUUGAUGUGGCGGUUGGUGGUGCAUGGACAUUCUUAGUUGGUGGAGCGAUUUGUCUGGUUAAUUCCGAUAACGAACGAGACUCCAGCCCGCUAAUUAAUGCAAUUGUCCACUGCACCAGCCGAACGGCGCAGUGUCAACUGCUUGAGGUCAGUGUGGGAUUCAGUGCGUUAGUGCAUUCUGCAUGGGUAAGACUGUUCUACAGUCUGACUGUGUAUGGGUGUGCGGCGUAUUUGGCCCGCAUGAUGUACUCUGGUGGAUGGCACUCCGGUUUCUAGCAGGUGCGGCGCGAAUGCUUCCUUCUUAGAGGGACACGCGGGAGAAGCCGCACGAAAUAGAGCAAUAACAGGUUGGUGAUGCCGUUAGACGUCCGGGGGCGCCGCAGGCUACAAUGAUGGUGUCAACGACGUGGACCCUCUGGCCCGAAAAGGUUGGAUAAUCUGAUCAUCGUAAUCGUGACAAGGGGAUGGGCUUGGUGAAUACCCCGCUUGAAAGAAAUUCCUAGUAAGUGCAAGUCAUAAGCUUGCCCUGACUACGUCCCUGCCCUUUGAACAUCCCGCCCGUCUCUACUACCGAUUGAAUGGUUAGUA
rnacentral:rRNA from 1 species